GUAUUUUAAAACCUUUUAUUUGUAGAUAGAUUAGAAUUAAAUUAUUUUAAACUAUUUUAAAAUCAUUAAGAAGAUCAGAUCUUCACCUUGUGCGGGUAGAUGGUCUCCGCAAAUCUGAUUCACGAGGUAUUUGGUGAAGGUUCAAUGGAAGCCGCACACACGUCCGGCCUCUACGGAUAUCCACACGAAGUAGUGAGUCGAUCGAAGCCUUUUGAUCUUUCCGGAGUGCUAGCUCUCUUGCAGAGAAGGCUAUUGAUGGAUGAAGUCCUCCCUUCCAAUCAACUCUUGAAUGCCUAAGGGAUGAGGAAGAAGAAGGAUAGAUUAAAGGAAGGAGAGCAAAAACCCGCAGCCUUUCCUUUUUCCUUCGCGUUGGAACCGAAGAAGGAGAUGAAGGGACCACACUUCACAAGCUUUUCUUCCCUUCUUCUUGCGGCUGAAAAGAGGUAUGGAGAGGGGCUACUUGCUGCCGAAAAU
rnacentral:lncRNA from 1 species